GAAUCUUCCACAGUACCCUUUGUGUAUAGUACUCUGCAUCCUAUGGUUGUUAUCCUGAUUGACAUGGUUGGUACCCUGCAUCUAAUGGAUACUAUCCAACAUCCCAUUGUUGGUACCCUGUAUUCUAUGGUUGGUUCCCUAAUUCCCAUGGAUGGUACUCUGCACCCCAUGGAUGAUAUCCUGCAUCCCACGGUUGAUAUCAGUGAACAGCGUGUGAGGCAGACAACCAAGUCAUCAGAAUCUAACAAGAUUCACAAGAUCCCACACUGCCCUGAAGCCAUCAUCUAACUUCUUGACUGCUUCCACUCGCAUGAGGUGAUUUUAAAAGCAAGCCUUCCUUCACUGUUUGCUGUAAGGACUCACCCGACCUGGUGGCUAAGUUUGACAGGCCCUGUACCGCACAGAAGCAGAUUGAGUCUACUGCUGCUGCUUCUGUUGAAAUGAAACUUUGGGUCUCACAGAUGUUCCAGUAGUCCAGAUUUUGUUGAUCACAUUUUCAAGGUGAUAGGACCACCAUGAUGCCUCCCAAGUGCCAGAGGCCACCUGCCAUCAACUCAGUGAGUUCUACAGGAUAAUGAAGAUGUCCCUCACACUCAGGAAGUGCUGAGAAGGCACCUGGAGUAGUCAGUACACACACACACAAUGACAUAAAGAUCAAGAUGUGUGUGUGUGUGUGUGUGUGUUCAUAAUACCACAUACCAUGUGGCUCACAUAAUCAAAGAAAAAUACCAGAAGGUUCUAUAUGCUUGAUUAC